rnacentral:rRNA from 1 species
UGGGGAAUAUUGCACAAUGGGCGCAAGCCUGAUGCAGCCAUGCCGCGUGUGUGAAGAAGGCCUUCGGGUUGUAAAGCACUUUCAGCGAGGAGGAAGGUGGUGAACUUAAUACGUUCAUCAAUUGACGUUACUCGCAGAAGAAGCACCGGCUAACUCCGUGCCAGCAGCCGCGGUAAUACGGAGGGUGCAAGCGUUAAUCGGAAUUACUGGGCGUAAAGCGCACGCAGGCGGUUUGUUAAGUCAGAUGUGAAAUCCCCGGGCUCAACCUGGGAACUGCAUUUGAAACUGGCAAGCUAGAGUCUCGUAGAGGGGGGUAGAAUUCCAGGUGUAGCGGUGAAAUGCGUAGAGAUCUGGAGGAAUACCGGUGGCGAAGGCGGCCCCCUGGACGAAGACUGACGCUCAGGUGCGAAAGCGUGGGGAGCGAACAGGAUUAGAUACCCUGGUAGUCCACGCUGUAAACGAUGUCGAUUUGGAGGUUGUGCCCUUGAGGCGUGGCUUCCGGAGCUAACGCGUUAAAUCGACCGCCUGGGGAGUACGGCCGCAAGGUU